UAUGCUAUGGGUGCGUGCGUUUGUGUGUGUGUGUGUGUCUGCCACAUGCAAAAUCCUAACUGAAUCCAGCACACACACACACACACGCAAACGCACUGACA
rnacentral:pre_miRNA from 1 species